GAUGAACGCUGGCGGCGUGCCUAAUACAUGCAAGUCGAGCGAACAGAUGAGGAUCUUGCUCCUCUGACGUUAGCGGCGGACGGGUGAGUAACACGUGUAUAACCUACCUAUAAGACUGGGAUAACUUCGGGAAACCGGAUCUAAUACCGGAUAAUAUAUUGAACCGCAUGGUUCAAUAGUGAACGACGGUUUUGCUGUCACUUAUAGAUGGAUCCGCGCCGCAUUAGCUAGUUGGUAAGGUAACGGCUUACCAAGGCAACGAUGCGUAGCCGACCUGAGAGGGUGAUCGGCCACACUGGAACUGAGACACGGUCCAGACUCCUACGGGAGGCAGCAGUAGGGAAUCUUACGCAAUGGGCGAAAGCAUGACGGAGCAACGCCGCGUGAGUGAUGAAGGUCUUCGGAUCGUAAAACUCUGUUAUUAGGGAAGAACAAAUGUGUAAGUAACUAUGCACGUCUUGACGGUACCUAAUCAGAAAGCCACGGCUAACUACGUG
rnacentral:rRNA from 1 species